rnacentral:rRNA from 1 species
AUUGAACGCUGGUGGUAUGCUUAACACAUGCAAGUCGAACGGUAACAGGCCGCAAGGUGCUGACGAGUGGCGAACGGGUGAGUAAUGCAUCGGAACGUGCCCAGUCGUGGGGGAUAACGCAGUGAAAGCUGCGCUAAUACCGCAUACGAUCUAUGGAUGAAAGCGGGGGACCGUAAGGCCUCGCGCGAUUGGAGCGGCCG